CCUACGUGCAUAUAUAAGCAAAAUUAUAAUUAUUAAUAUUUACACAAGACAAACUUUGAUUAAAUCCACACAAACCCUAUACAUGCCAUAUAAACUGUAUUGAACGUACAAAAACUACCGGAAUAGACUAGAUAGUGUAACUUGAUGUGCUGAUCCGAUCUUCUAACCUCACGAAAAUCUACAAAGACAUUAAAUCACACAAGUAAGCUUAAUGAAGCUUAGUAAGUUCGAUGGGUUAAACAUAAAUCUUACUGAACCUACUAUAACACAUUAAUUAAAUAAAUUCAUUUAAUGUAAACUCCCUGCCAAUCACAACUUCAAUCGAUGAAUGCACUUAUUUUAAGUCAAUACCAAUAACAACCAAUAUGUCUUUUAAUUUCAAUUACAUAGUCACUUACCAAAUCUUCCCAAAUCGGAGAACGGCUUACGGAUAAGAGUAUAUCAUUUUCAGAAGCCCAAAGGCUGAACAGAAUUUCGUAAGAGCUAAAUAGAAACCCAUAAGAGUUGAACAGAAGCUUGUAAGAGCUGAAUGGAAACUCAUAUGAGUUAAACGGAAGCUCAUAAGAGCUGAACAGAAGCUCAAAAGAGCUAAACGGAAACUCAUAUGAGUUAAACAGAAGCUCGUAAGAGCUAAACGGAAAGUAAAACAUGAGAGUUCGAAAAAAAAUACUGAACCUUGAUUUACUUGGGUAAUUUGUUGUCAUUUUCCUCCAAUUUUGUCAAUUCGCCAAAUCACAAAUGUACUCAAAUCUCGCGUUCAAUCCAAACUGAGUAUUAAUUUCGAUAAUAUUUUUCCAACGACAAUUCAAUUCCAACAACAUAACAUAUAUAUUACCAAUCAUCAAUUUAAUAUAAAUAUUAAAGUUUAACCAUACAAACUUACCUGGGUUAAAUUGUAAUAUUUGCAGGAGUUCAGAGAUUAUUCCGCUAAUUUUCUUUUUUCACGAAUAUCUACGGGAUUUUGAUCUAAAAUAUAAAAUUACUCAUUCAUUAGCAUAUAUUUCAGUUCCAAUCCACUUCACAAUUAAUACCCCUCAAUUUUUCUAAUUUACACAAUUACCCCAACUUUUACAACUUUUGCAAUUUAGUCCCUUAACUAAUUAGUCUAUCAAAUGAACUAAUAUUUCUUAAUUGAUAAUUUAUCUCAAUAUUAUAGGCUAUCAUACAACCCUUGAUAAACAUAAAUUUAAUACCAAACCCUAAUAUUUAACCUUUUCACAAUUUGGUCCUAAAAUCAACAUCUAACAAAAUCACUUUAUAAAAACAUCAUGCAACUAAAUUAAAGCUCUAAAUCCAUGUUAUUUCAUUAAAAAAAUCCAGUAUUCAUCAGUGGAAACUUUCAAAAUUCUCAAUAAAAUCAAAAACUAAGGCAAUAGUUAGUUGGACCUAAUUGUAAAAGUCUCAAAAGCAUAAAAAUUUCAAGAAAAAAGGCAAGAAUAAACUCACUUGAAGUAAAAAUAUUAAAAAAAACAGCUUAAGGAGCUCUCCUAAGGCUGUUUUUUGCUGAGAAUUGAAGAAGAAUUUGUCUAGACACCUUUAAUAUUUCAAUUUGUAGUUUUAAUUUUACUUUAUUUACUAUUUUGUCAUUAAAUUGGCUUUUUUUUUAUUUUCACUACUUAUGCCGCCUCAGCCAUUUCAUUUUGGCUUAUUUACUCUUUAAGUCCUCCCUAUUUACCAUUUAAGCCAUUUAAUCACUAUUUCUUUUAAUUAACAAGUUUUACACCUUUUUUAAUUUAGUCCUUUGUAAUUAAUUAACUAUCAAAACGUUAAAAUUUUCUCACAAAGCUUUAAUACUACCUUAAUGACACUCCGUAAAUAUUUAUAAAAAUAUUUACGACUUAGUUUAUAGAAACGAGGUCUCGAUACCUCAUUUUCUAAAACCACUUGACCUAAGAUUUUGUUGCUUGAGCCUAAUAAUUCAUUACAAACUUAAAUUACUAAUUCAAAAAUAUUUCUAAAACCAUGUUUGACUCGUAAAUACUAAAAAAUAAAAUUUACAAGCUUACUUGUUGGAUUUGGUGGUCUCGAACCAUUGUUUCCGACACCACUAAAAAUCGAGUUGUUACAUUGAUGGUGGAGAUAUCAUCCUUUUAAUUCUUCUCCUUUCCUUUGUUAGACUUUGUCAAUAGACCUACCGUUGAUGCAAAGAAAACACGACACGGGCAAAAGUAGAGAAAAUUCAAGCAAUGAUAGAUAAUGAAAUAAAAACUUAUAAAAAAAAAAGGACUUUGAUGAACUUGAAAGACAAAAGGAACAAGUUGGAAAAUAAGAACACUUGGAAAUGUAGACACUUAAGAAAAU
rnacentral:lncRNA from 1 species